rnacentral:sRNA from 1 species
UUUGUCUUGCUGCACAGGGGGCAGACACACAAAACAGAAAACCUUGCUGUUGUUUAGAUCUCUUGAAACAAUUUAUGGCAAUCCAAAAAGAUAUUUUAUUUUACUGUAUAUUUUUGUGCAAGUAUUGUAGUGCAUAAAAAACUGGGAUCACCUUGUCAUCAUGAAUAUGUAAAGGAAAAUACACCAACAAUUGAACUGCUUUUAUUAGGUACUGCAAAAUCUGAUCUGCUGAUAAUUUUUGUUACUUACACUCUCAUGAAUUUUGUUUUAAUUUUUUGUUGUGCAUUUAGAUGCAAUAUUUCCCACCUUUUAAAAAUUGUAUUUUCAUUUGUACAAUACAAUGGCAUUGAUGUCAACUUGGGUGCUGACGAAAGUCUCCUAUGCGUUUUACAGAUGACUGUGUUCUAUUACAAUAUUUCAGAUGUAUCUGUCUGAAGUUUUGUUGUGGCUAUAAAUAAAAAUUGCAAACGUGUUUCAAAGAA